AUCAGUUUGUUACAAAGGAGAAAAAACCGCAACGUUCGAUCGACGAGAUCCAAAUAUUAAUCCCACACAAAUUAAAAUCCAAUCCAUUUUCCAAUUCCACAUUCCAUUCCAUUCCCACAUCGAUCGGUCACUGCACUCGCGCUCUCUUCGGACACCGUACGCACGCAGCGGCCGGCCGGCGACGUACGGCGAGAUCGGUGAUUCGAUCGAUUGGGGGCGAGGGCCAUGGCGCGGUCGAGCGCGGACGACAUGGAGCUGAAGCGGUCGUGCGAGGCCGGGAUCCUGAGCAAGGAGAAGGACCGGGAGACGGUGGUGAUGUCGAUGCGCGUCGCCAAGGGCCGCGGCGUCUGGGGCAAGGCCGGCAAGCUCGCCUCCCGCCACAUGGCCAAGCCCCGCGUCCUCGCCGUCACCACCAAGAAGAAAGGGCAGCGCACCAAGGCGUUCGUCCGGGUCCUCAAGUACUCCAAUGGCGGCGUCCUCGAGCCUGCCAAGGUGUACAAGAUGAAGCACCUCUCCAAGGUGGAGGUCGUCCCCAACGAUCCCAGCGGCUGCACAUUCCUCCUGGGGUUUGAUAACCUCCGGAGCCAGAGCGUGUCGCCUCCCCAAUGGACGAUGCGCAACAAGGACGACAGGAACCGCUUCCUCAUGUGCAUCCUCAACAUGUGCAAGGAGAUAUACGGUGCCAUUCCAAAGGUUGUUGGCAUGGACGUUGUGGAGAUGGCUAUGUGGGCAAAGGAUAAUACCACAGUAAAGGUUACUCAAGUGAGCACGAAAGAUGGACCCAUCGAAUCACUAGUAGGAGAGGCUGACUCGCAAGUUGCCAUUCAGAAAGACUUGGUCUUACAGACGGAAGAUGAGGAUACUGAGGCUCUCCUUGACACGUAUAUCAUGGCCAUUGGUGAAGCAGAGGCAUUUUCAGAACGAAUGAAGCGUGAACUCGUGGCACUUGAAUCUGCAAAUGUUUAUGCACUUAUGGAAACUGAAACCGUGAUAGAAGAGGUAUUGGAGGGCUUAGAAAUAGCUAGUAUAUGUGUUGAAGAUUUUGAUGAAUGGCUUGGUAUUUUCAAUGUAAAGCUUAGGCAUAUGAGAGAGGAUAUACAAUCUAUAGAAUGGCGUAAUAACAAGUUAGAGCUACAAUCUGAUAGUAAUGUGGCAUUGAUUGAUGAGCUUGACAAAAUGCUCGUGCUCCUGCAAAUACCACCUGAGUAUGAGGCAUCUUUAACUGGAGGUUCAUUCGAUGAAGGCAACAUGGUUAAGAACAUUGAAGCUUGUGAGUGGUUGACCAGUGCUAUAAAGAACCUAGAAGCAUCGAAUCUGGAUCCCAUAUACGUGAAAUUGCGUGCUGUAAGGGAGAAACGUGCAGAAUUUGUACUUCUAAAGUGCACAUUUGUGCGGAGGGCAUCCGAGUUUUUAAGGAAUUACUUUCCCAGUUUGAUUGAUUUUAUGCUAAAUGACAAAGGCAACUUCUCACAGAGAGGGCAACUCCAGAGGCCUGACCAUGCUGAUAUGAGGUACAAAUGCAGGACAUAUGCCCGACUUCUACAGUUCAUCAAGAACCUGGACAAGAGCUGUUUGAUGCCUUUACGGAAAUCUUACUGCCAUUCUCUUAACUUGUUAAUUCGACGGGAGGCUCGUGAGUUCUCCAGUGAACUCCGUGCUGGUUCAAAGGCAUCGAAGAGCAGUACACCAUUAUUUGAGGGUCCUGCAAGUGCAAACCAGUCGAUUAGUAUUACCGAUACUACUGCAGACGCAUACUGCAAAAUGAUUACGGUUUUCAUUCCACUGCUUGUUGACGAGAGCUCAUUCUUUGCACAUUUUAUGUGCUUUGAUGUUGCUGCGCUAGCUCCGUCAGAUGAAUCAGAUAACAAUAAUCCUGUUGCUGUUUCAGAACCUCCUGGAAGCAGUGCCAAACCAAUUAACAGUUCAGCUGAGUUGGGAGUACUAAACCAAUUCCUUCAAGAGUUGCUUGAUGGUAUUCAGGAGGACUUCUAUGCUAUAGUUGACUGGGCAUUCAAGCUAGAUCCAUUGAGUUGUAUAUCAAUGCAUGGCAUAACAGAUCGCUAUCUUUCUGGUCAGAAGGCAGAGGUUGCAGGAUAUGUGCAUGUUUUGCUAGAUGACUUGGAGACUAGAAUAUCCAUUUUAUUUAGCAGGUUUGUUGAUGAUGCCUGCUACCAGAUUGAGAAGUAUGAGCGCAAUGUGCGGCAAAUUGGAGUUGUACCCUAUAUUCCGAGGUUCUCACAACUUGCAGCACGUAUGGAGCAGUAUAUAAAUGGAUCCAGGGAUCUAGUUGAUCAGGCCUAUACAAAAAUUGUGACCAUUAUGUUUGUGACCCUCGAGAAAAUUGCUCAAGUGGAACCUAAAUAUGUUGACAUUGUACUAUUGGAGAAUUAUGCAGCUUUCCAGCACAGUCUGUACGAUUUAGCAAAUGUUGUACCAACACUUGCUAAGUAUUAUCACCAAGCUAGUGAAGCUUAUGAACAAGCUUGCUCACGCCACAUCAAUUUAGUCAUAUAUAUCCACUUCGAAAAAUUAUUCCAGUUUGCUCGGAAAAUUGAGGAACUAAUGUACAACAUGAGCCCUGAGGAGAUACCUUUCCAAGUUGGAAUGUCGAAGGUAGACUUCCGUAAGAUGUUGAAGUCCAGCUUAAGUGGUCUUGACAAGACAAUCAAUGCAAUGUAUAGAAAACUACAGAAGAAUAUUACGGCUGAAGAAUUACUUCCUUCUCUAUGGGAUAAAUGCAAGAAGGAGUUUCUUGACAAAUAUGCAACCUUCCUCAAAUUGAUUUCCAAAAUAUAUCCCAGUGAAACAGUAAUUUCAGUGAAUGAAAUGAAAGACACCCUAGCUUCCCUGUGACAACUUUGCUCUUGGAGCACAUCUACAAGGUACAUGUUCUUUGAUUUUUGCUGUUGUGCUUUUUACAUAUUAGUACCAUUUGUACUUUAUUGUAGGAUGUAUCGCAUAAUUAUUUUAUCUUUUUGGUCAAAUGUAUGUUUGAAGAAAAUACAAUUGAAUUUGGUAUUCACUAACAUUAUUUUGUCUCUUUUCAAAGACAGUAUAUAAGGCUUCUUUAAAACAUAUCAACUUUUUACCUGAUUUCAUCAGAACUUAAAUUGUUUGCUAUGAAAUACCUAUAUGUAAAUAAGUCCUGAAUUAGUGAGGACUGAACAAAAGAAUCGGCCAUGAUUACCAAAUGAAGUGCACUGUUUUUUCAGUACUGUUUCAAUACAAUAAUAAAAUGUGGUUAUUUUUCACCUGCCUAUUCUGAUUUACAGAGCACAGCCUUGAAAACCAUAUAAUUUUUAGGACUUCUAGUAUGUGCACGCUUGCUAAAAUAAUUGAACAUAUGAUCAUUUGAGCAAACUGGUUGAGUUUUUUUUGACACUAGAAGAGAACUGUAAUGUGGUUGAAUUUUGUCUCCAAAGGAAUCUAGGUUCUGUUUUGAAAUAAACAUACUAGUUAUUUUUUCGUGUGCGUGUUUUAGUAUAGCCAUGCUUGGAUGUGUUUAAAAGGUCUUAAAAUUUGGAGGCAUAAUACAUGAAGGGUAUUUUAAAGGACAUGAAUCUUUUGGAUGAUGUUUUGGUUCUUUUUUUCUUAUAUUCGCUUUGAGUGCAGCAAUUAUGUUUCUCAAAAAACUAUCAGUGCCAUCUUCUCGAUAUUUUAAAACAUUUUUGAACCAUUCUUAAGGCAUUUUAGGUAUUAUUAUUAAGUCUGCCAGGAUCAGUGGUGCUGUAGUGCGAUUGAUCAAUUAGUUUAAUGUUCUAAGUGAGUGUGGAAGAUAUGUAGUGACAAAGCAUUUGUAAUAGGUGGUAUUCAAACACACAACGAGCACAACAUGCAUGGCUUUAUCGUGUAUUAUGAUAAUGAUUUAAGUUGGAAAUGGCAAGAAUAUGAAACUGAACUUGAAAUGUAUUUUGCAUUGAAGAAUGGCAGUUAGAGCAUCUCCAACAGAUGGCUAACAGCAGUCCCAAAACUUCAUUUAGAAAUUAAGAUAAAAACCAGGCCUCCAACAGGUUCCCAAUUUUGCCGCAUUCCUAAUCCAGGUGCCAAAUCGAGCCAAAUUUUGGCACCGUUCCACACUCCCAAUAGAGCCAGCGCAGGAGAAAAUUGGCCAUCACGCAAUCUCGUGGAUCCUCUCAUCUCCUCGCUCUCUCCGAAUCCACCACCCGCCAAGGCCUCCACGGCCAACUAGCCUGCUGCUGCUUCCCUGGGCACUGCAUCGGAGCUUGCUCCAGGCCGGGCUGCCGGCCUCGUCAACCUCCUUCGGCCUCUUCGCACCGCCAUAUCGGGUUUGUCCGCUGCACCGUUCCAGCAUCGGGGUCGCUCGCUCGUCCGCAGCACCCAAGUCGCAUCGAGGUCGUAGGUCGUAGCCCUCACCUCAUCGAUCGCCGCAUCAGGGUCCCUCGUCCAAUGCACCUGCGCCGAAUCGAGGUAGUCCAUCUUUGCCGCAUCCCCAACAUUCUCCCUCAUCGGCAGAUGCUCACAAGAAUACUCAUGGGUUAUGACUUUUGUGAUUUCUGUGAACUUGUUCUUCAGUUGCAAGAAACAAAUGAUCAGGCUGAUAUUGCCUCCUUGAUUACCCCAAUUCUUUUAUUUGUUUGAUUACGAACAGAAUUCCGUGGAGUGCAGAUUUUUGUUUCAAGUGCAUGACAAUUAUUACAGUGUACUAGUGGCAUGACAUUUGGUCUUGUUGCUUACUAAUUGUGUUCCUUUUUAUUUUGCAACUUAUGUGACCUUGAGCUUUUGAAGGGAUGAAGAGAAGGAGAGAACAGGAGAUACCAGUUUUUUGUGGCAAUAGUUGUUGGAGUCCAGAUUUCCUGGGAGUUGUUACGAAUUUUUAUGCUUCAGAAAAAUAAUAUUUGUUUGCAUCUACAUGAGUUUUGCUAUGCAAAGUUUCCCUUUCGUUCCGUGAAUUUGUUCGAUAAGUAUGACCCAGUAGUUUGUAAAUGAGGUGGAAGGGCGCCUGGCGGAGGGCUGAAGAGAAGAGGCAACAGAGUAUGUUAUAUAUACUGGUGGAGAGAAAGAGAGCACUAAGGCGAUCAUAGAAAAAUAUUAAGUUGAGCUAGCGAGUUGAAUACUAAAGUCUUAUGAUGCCAGAUUUGAUAGAGGAGGCAAGUAUGUCGCGAGAUCCCAUUUAACCAAAAGGGGUUUUUGUUUUCUCUUACCAUUCUUAAGAAGGCAUCCGAAGGUAUCAUGGUAGUUGUAUUAGAGAUAUCAAAAAUUUUAGAGAGAAUCUACUACAUACCACAUACCACUGACUUUAGUCUAGUUUAACAGUAUGCCACUGUUCUAUAAUAUAUGCCAUCACUUUUUGCUUAA